AUAACCAGCUUACAUAUUCAUCGAGUUUCGAACCAUACGUAAUUAAAUUAAAUUCGAUUUUUUAAAACCUUGAUCGUUUACACUCUUGUGAAUAUCCUUGAGGAAACCUCUUAGAAUCCGCGCAAUAAUUAUAAACCAUAUGUUUGCUCUGUACCCAUCGGACCCUGUUCCGACCCUUAGCAUCAAGCUCAUGUGUCUCCCACGACUUAGCACUGUUCGUGGAUUCAGUAGACCGUGAGGCACAUGAGGAAGCGCCUGAUUUAACGACGCAGCCAUCAAUGUUAAUGUUCCUAUAAUAGGCAGUAAAUGGUGCUUGUGACCAAUCAGUUUUGACUCUACCACCUUGUGUAGCCCAUUCAUCUGCAUUCCAUAAACUACAAUAGACUUUCAUUGGUUGACUUUUGGGGUAUGCAAUUCCAAUGCUCUCAUGGUUGUUGUAUACUCUAAUUGGAAUCUGAUCCACCAAAAACACUAUGCGGUUAGCGUUCCAAACAAUGGUGUAAGUGUGAAAUGCUGCAGUUGGAUCGAACCAAAGGUGAAAUUGUUGUUCUUUGUUUCCUUUUCCUUGAGAAUAAACAUUGGUGUGUACCGUAUAAGGCUCACCAGUCACAUUUCCCAAGAACUCGAAAUCGAUCUCAUCGUGUCCUUCUCCUUGUGACGAUAGAAAGAACGUGGUGACAGUGCCAGCAGAGUUUUUAGGGACGAGUUUGAGUUGCAUGUCGAAUCUUCCGUAGAGAUAUUCAUUUUUCGAUUGAAAACCCGACCCGGAAUAAUUAUCAAGUGACAAAGAGAGACCUUUACCUCCAUCUAAUAUUUUACCACGUCCAUCACCCCAAGUGAUUUCUGUAAGGUCAUUAAAAUUACCAGCUGCUAAUACAGCCACUAAAUUGCCCAUUAAUACAAUGGAAAUUAAAAGUAAAUGAGAAUUAGCCAUUUUUUUUCAAAUUAGCUGA
rnacentral:misc_RNA from 1 species